rnacentral:rRNA from 1 species
UACAGAGGUCUCAAGCGUUGUUCGGAUUCAUUGGGCGUAAAGGGUGCGUAGGCGGCGCGGUAAGUCGGGUGUGAAAUCUCGGAGCUUAACUCCGAAACUGCAUUCGAUACUGCCGUGCUUGAGGACUGGAGAGGAGACUGGAAUUUACGGUGUAGCGGUGAAAUGCGUAGAUAUCGUAAGGAAGACCAGUGGCGAAGGCGGGUCUCUGGGGCCGAUACUGACGCUGAGGAGCGAAAGCGUGGGGAGCGAACAGG